AGAGUUUGAUCCUGGCUCAGGACGAACGCUGGCGGUGUGCUUCAUACAUGCAAGUCGAACGAGAAAGUCCCCUUCGGGGGGCGAGUAAAGUGGCGAACGGGUGCGUAACACGUGAGCAAUCUGCCUCGAAGCUGGGGAUAACCUUCCUAACGGAGGGCUAAUACCCGAUGUGUUUACCGGGUGGCAUCGCCUGGUGAAUAAAGAUGGCGUGCUGAACGCUAUCACUUCGAGAUGGGCUCGCGGCCUAUUAGCUAGUUGGUGAGGUAACGGCUCACCAAGGCAACGAUGGGUAGCCGGCCUGAGAGGGUGACCGGCCACAUUGGGACUGAGAUACGGCCCAGACUCCUACGGGAGGCAGCAGUAGGGAAUAUUGCGCAAUGGGCGAAGGCCUGACGCAGCAACACCGUGUGAGCGAUGAAGGCCUUCAGGUCGUAAAGCUCUGUCAGGUGGGAAGAAACCCGGUUGGUAGACAAUACCGGCCGGCUGACGGUACCACCAGAGGAAGCUCCGGCUAACUCCGUGCCAGCAGCCGCGGUAAUACGGAGGGAGCAAGCGUUGUUCGGAAUUACUGGGCGUAAAGGGCGCGCAGGCGGUUUGGUAAGUCAGAUGUGAAAUUCACCGGCUCAACCGGUCGAACUGCAUCCGAUACUGCCAGGCUUGAGAUCAGUAGAGGAGAGUGGAAUUCCCAGUGUAGCGGUGGAAUGCGUAGAUAUUGGGAAGAACACACGUGGCGAAGGCGGCUCUCUGGACUGAUUCUGACGCUGAGGCGCGAACGCUAGGGGAGCGAACAGGAUUAGAUACCCUGGUAGUCCUAGCCGUAAACGAUGGGUACUAGGUGUUGGGGGUUUCCAUGCCUCCAGUGCCGAAGCUAACGCAUUAAGUACCCCGCCUGGGGAGUACGACCGCAAGGUUGAAACUCAAAGGAAUUGACGGGGGCCCGCACAAGCGGUGGAGCAUGUGGUUUAAUUCGAAGCAACGCGAAGAACCUUACCCGGAUUUGACAUAUAGAUGCAAGGCCUGGAAACAGGUCCCUCCUUCGGGACGCCUAUACAGGUGCUGCAUGGCUGUCGUCAGCUCGUGUCGUGAGAUGUUGGGUUAAGUCCCGCAACGAGCGCAACCCUUGCCCCUUGUUGCUAACAGGUAAUGCUGAGGACUCUAGGGGGACCGCCGGCGAUAAGCUGGAGGAAGGUGGGGAUGACGUCAAGUCAUCAUGGCCCUUACGUCCGGGGCUACACACGUGCUACAAUGGUCGGUACAAAGGGUUGCCAAACCGUGAGGUCGCGCUAAUCCCAAAAAACCGAUCUAAGUUCGGAUUGAAGUCUGCAACUCGACUUCAUGAAGUUGGAAUCGCUAGUAAUCGCGGAUCAGCAACGCCGCGGUGAAUACGUUCCCGGGCCUUGUACACACCGCCCGUCACGCCAUGGAAGCCAGGGGUACCCGAAGUCGCUGUUCUAACCCGCAAGGGAGGAAGGUGCCGAAGGUAAACUUGGUAACUGGGGCGAAGUCGUAACAAGGUAGCCG
rnacentral:rRNA from 1 species